ACCCUUUGAUCAAAUAACUACCACUAGGUGCACUCAUAUCGCCACCCGUUUAGAACUGUCACAACAGUACACGCAUAGUGUGUUUGUUGUGACACAAUCAGUGUCUUGUUUGAACCGUGCCAACAUCGAACAUACUAGGGAAUACAGCAGGCUUGCAAUACCAAACUGGCAACUAUGUAGAUAUACAGGGCAAGAAUCCACUACAGGCGACGCAACUGUUUUCAAAGAGAUGCACCCGAACCGCAGUGUUCAUUGCGAAAUCCUCUAUAUUUACGAACGAUGUAAAUAGUGGACGAGUCAAGCUUUCUUUCAGGAAGCACAGAGUUAUGGAACACCACUGUCUGUCACUGCUACUGAUUUUAUACGGUUCAGAAAUUGUGAAAGGAUGGUGCUACAUGGAUUGGUUUGAACCGGUUGAUUGUGUAAAGGGAGAGCACUGUUGUGGGAGUGGCAGAGCUGCAAAAUGCUGUAAGGAAGGAGAACCUGACCCAAUACCAUCCGUGAUAGGAAUAACUGUUGGAGUGAUCGCUGGGGGGCUGCUUCUUGGGGGAGUCGUGUACCUGUGUAAGAAGAUGUGCACCCCAAGAUGAAGAAGUAAAAAAACAGAAAUUCAAUUUAUCUGACUCGUCAGGUUUGCUUCUGGAACCCCAGCCUUGGCGUAUCGGGUGCUCUAUCCUGCAGGAGUUGUCUCCCUUCACUACAUCCUUCUCAAACCCAAACCGAGUAAAAGGACGCCAUCGAUUGUGUGAACAUCUCUCUGGCGUACCCACAAGUACACGGGUAGAUGCAACUGUAUCAGGGGUAUAUCCUGUAUUUGUCCGUCCAAAUCAUUUUAACCACACACACCAUCCUAAUGCAUUCAAAAGUUCUGCUGUAAAUAUUAUAUUUUUACACAAUGUCAAGUAUCGAAGUGCGCAUAUUGUAUAUAUGAAGUUUACACGAAUAAAUAAACCGGCUAUGAAA